UCACUCGUUUACCGCCUUGACAAAGGCGGUGAAUAGUUUACCGCCUUAUCUAGGCAUUCUGAUCAGGCGGUUUUUCGUUUACCGCCUUAUCUAUGCCCCCUGAGCAAAUCCGUGUCUUUAGUGUAGAACUCCACCCAGCCUAAUUUCGCUAAGUUCUCGAGAGGGGGGCUAAAACACAUAUAAGACGGUGAGUAGUUCACCGUCUCAUUUGGGCUCCACUACACACGGUUAACACCGUCUUUAGCGUCUGACUCCUAGAGAAGACGGUGAAUUAUUUACCGCCUUCAAGACGUUAGACCUAAAGACGGUGAACGAGUCACCAUCUUUGUGAGAAAUACUGAUGUGACGGCUGAGGUAACGAGAGGAGGGUUAGUUUUACAAAUAAAAAUUUCACAAAAUUAAUUUGGUAAUUACGAAAUUUUAGAGAAUUAUUUUCGAAAAAAGUCCACUAGGCAAAUGGACGGGAGU
rnacentral:lncRNA from 1 species